CUAUUUCUUAUCCGGGCGGGGCAACUUCAGGACGGAUGAUUUUUUAUUUUAUUUUUGGCUCUCUCUUGUCAUACUAUUUGGAGCGGAUCGAAAUCGAGAGCGAAUUUUUGACGAGUUUUUGAUGAAUCGAGAUGGAUUGAAGGAAAAAAAGAAUCUUUCGCCUUCUGCUCUAUUUAUUUAGCGGAUCGAAAUAGAUUCGAAACAAAUUAUAUUUUUUUAUAUUUUUUAUUCUUAUUUACCGCCUCAGGUCGGAUCCGGGUGGGGGCUCCAC
rnacentral:lncRNA from 1 species